CGCCUAGGGACUACGAGCGCUAGCUUAAAACCUUAAGGACUUGGCGGUAUCUCAAACCCCCUAGAGGAGCCUGUCCUAGCACCGAUAACCCCCGUUUAACCUCACCACUACUUGCCAACCCCGCCUAUAUACCGCCGUCGACAGCUUUCCCCGCAGAGCCCAAUAGCAAGCAAAACAGGCCCACAAGGCCUAAUACGUCAGGUCGAGGUGUAGCGCACUGUAUUGGAAUGAGAUGGGCUACACUCCCUGAAUCAGGGACCACGAAGGGGGCCCUGAAACAGGGCCUCUGAAGGAGGAUUUAGCAGUAAAAAGGGACUAGAGUGCCCUUCUGAAGAAGGCCUUGAGAUGCGU
rnacentral:rRNA from 1 species